UAUGUCAGCUCCUGGUUCCAGG
rnacentral:misc_RNA from 1 species